UUGACCUGGUAUAGGGUGCUCCAUGUGACCAGUGUUUGACCUGGUAUAGGGUGCUACAUAGCUCUGCUUGGUUUGGGUCCUAAAUGUGACCCUGGCAAAGGUGGGGCUGUGCUUUUUAACGCGACAUAGGUGUAAUUUACAUGAGAUGCACGUGAAAUUUGCUUGUGAGGAGAGGGUUGACGUGGUUACUUUCCUCAACUUUUUUUUUUCCCUAAAAGUUUGACUUGAUUGGUAUGUCGUGGUUUUGAGGCAGGUCUAUUAUUUUGACGGAUGGUUCUGGAUUGUUUAAGAACUUACACAAAAAAGGGAAUGGAGGUCAUGUCUACUGGAGCAAUCCAGAAGACCUCAUGAGCUGGACCAAUCCAACAGCUGGCUUUUAUUCCAGCUCAACACACUCCAGGAAGAUUGGAUUUCAGUAAACCCCUUUGACUUGACCUGGGAGAUGGGUCCCCAUGAAUCAAAUUAUCUGAACCCGGUUAUUUUUAAACUACUCCUUCAGCUGAGGAAGUAGAGAAACCCUCACUGGUGCUUUCAGAUUCAUGGAGGGGAAUAUUGCUACGUGUUGCAUGGUUCUCUAGGGGAAAACUCGGGUUGUAGUUUAGUUGCCAAGAGAGGUAAACCAGAUCUUUCUCAAGGUGUUUCUCAUUGGGGUCCAAGUCUCUGUCUCGAAGGACAUGCCAGUUCAUGUAACUGAGGCUACAACGGCCUCGUGAACACUUCAUCUCCUGAGGGGGCACGUCUACAGAUCUGCAGAUUUCAGACGGCACCGUAUCCCAGCAUGCAUCUCUACUCAUACCGACCACACACCCAUCAGGAAGACACUCGUGUGAUGAUGAGUUCAGCAAAGUGGACAAAAUGGAUAAGACAUUCAGCUUAGGCAUGUCAAGGCUGUGUUUCUGGGUGUAAAGUAUUUCCUUUUAAGCCCACAUAGACUUCCCUCACUCCUUUCUCUUAGCCUAUGUAUAUGUUAAAUAUAUCUGGGUGUUUACUGCUUAGGCAUUGAAAUGUGUGACUGUAAUAAAAACCAACAGCAGCAAAGUACUAGAUCAACUCAAGGUAAGUCUGUUGGAUGUGUUCACAAUGAGAAGCUUGAAGGACUACAGGAUCUUCCAUUCAGCUCAAGGUGAGGUGCUGGUUAUUUUCCUUAUUGCUGGUUUGGUUACUACUGCGAUGUAAGGAUUCCUGCUUAGGAUGGUAGUUAGAAGAUGGAUCGAGUUUGUUCCAUGUAUGCUUGUCUUCAGGCCCAAACGGUCCCUCGAUGUGGUCCGAUGGCUGGAGUUUGCAUUGAUUUGGGAGUUAGCUGGAUGGUGAUUCAUCUGAGGUCACACAAGAUCGGCCUUUGCAGAACCUUGUGGCAUUAACUACAUUGCAGGGGUAUUUUUCUAACGUUCACUAGCUAAAGUACUCGUGUAGCCAUCAGUCAUAAGCUGACCUAAAUACUGUGCCUCCUCAGGGAGACGUUCUCUAAAACCUGACGCACAAAUUAAUUUGCAUUGUCCUGCAAUUGUGGACACUAGAGCGGUACUUUGAGCUAGCAGACCAACUCCAGCUGCCUUCUACUUGCGUAAAUAUUUCGGUUGAAGGCUGCAAAAUAUUUUCGAGCGGCAACAAUUUGGCAUUUCCGUCCUGGAGAGAGCUGUUUGGUGGCUAGAUUUACCACAACCCAGCACCUGGACAUGGCUUGAGUAUAAUUUUACUACUCUACUGUUACUCCUGCUUGUCCUCUUUGGUACAUCUUCACCUUAUGUCAAUUCUAAAUAUCAGGGCAAUCAGAAGUUGGUUCUUAACUAAUUUAACAUAGAACUUGGAUAGGUUUACCUAUCUAAAUAUAGAGUAGUACUGUAAAAAUGUCGUUUGUCUCACAAGAUGUCUGCUACAAGUGACUUAAGAGGCUUGCUAAAGGUAAACGCAGGACGGGAGGCUUAUAUUUAUUUUAUAGGAAAACGUUUAAAUUACCCCAUCACCUCCCGUCUCUGCUCUACUGUGAUGGGUGGAUGUGUGUUGGAACCAUGAAGUCUUAUUUGAAUGGAUGGAGGUUUCAUGUUUGCAGUAGGUGCAGACUGCCGUGCUUGCUGUCUUGAUCCUGUCCAAUGCCCAAGAUGUCAGGGAGGACCAGAGGCUGAUGCUGGACCCGAGGGUACACUUUUCCUGCCACUACUAGUGGUGGUGAGCUAACGGAGGAGCCGUGCUGAAGGAGGAGCCUGGAGAAGGUCCCUCCGGACCCUGGUAUGAGUAUCCACUAGUGAGUAAUCUACUAGUAUUCAACCGGUCACUGCUGACGUCACUUGGAGCAUAUGUAGAGAAGAGUCGCGGGGUCAUUUAAGGUGUGGGUCAGCAGGAUUAUUUACUGAGAUUUCCUUAAUAGGAAAGCUAUAGUCUGCUAUACUCUCAUAAGCUUUAAAGUUGUACUAACACAUUAUGGAAAGUGACUGCUGAGGAGGCCUGUUUGUUUGUUGUGGCUAGAUGGAGCUGAUGACCACUAGGAUCUGAUGGGAGGACUGCGAUGGACCAGUAACAUCUUGGAGUAGGUGCAGACUCCCGUGCUUGCUGUCUUGAUCCUGUCCAAUGUCAGAGAGGACCAGAGGCUGAUGCUGGACCCGAGGGUACACUUUUCCUGCCACUACUAGUGGUGGUGAGCUAACGGAGGAGCCGCGCUGAAGGAGGAGCCUGGAGAAGGUCCCUCUGGACCCUGGUAUGAGUAUCCACUAAUGGAGCUGAUGACCACUAGGAUCUGAUGGGAGGACUGCGAUGGACCAGUAACAUCUUGGAGUAGGUGCAGACUCCCGUGCUUGCUGUCUUGAUCCUGUCCAAUGUCAGAGAGGACCAGAGGCUGAUGCUGGACCCGAGGGUACACUUUUCCUGCCACUACUAGUGGUGGUGAGCUAACGGAGGAGCCGCGCUGAAGGAGGAGCCUGGAGAAGGUCCCUCUGGACCCUGGUAUGAGUAUCCACUAAUGGAGCUGAUGACCACUAGGAUCUGAUGGGAGGACUGCGAUGGACCAGUAACAUCUUGGAGACGCUGUGGAGAUCCUGAGUUUGGUGUGGGGGAGACAUCCUUGAGCCGCGGCCUCCCUGUAUCCUGACGUCCUUCUUGCCAGUCUCCUCACAGGAUUCAUCUGAUCAUCCUGGAGCUUCUUCAGAAGGACCAACGAGUGAAGAGCCAGCUGGAGUCAUCGUUGGACUGCAGAAUCAUCUCUUCCAUGCGCACACACCUGUCUGUGUGUGGAGGACACCACCUCUUCCAAUCUAUUCUCUCUCCUCCACCUGUCUGUGUGUGGAGGACA